CCCGCUGAACUUAAGCAUAUUAAUAAGCGGAGGAAAAGAAAGCAACAGCGAUUCCCUUAGUAGUGGCGAACGAAGCGGGAUAAGCUCAGUUUUGAAAUCGGGCCUAGGUAUCUGGGUCCGAAUUGUAGCCUUCAGGGCUCUAGUCGCGGUUUGCCGGCAGUGUAAGUUCCUUGGAAUGGGACGCCAGAGAGGGUGAGAGCCCCGUACACCACUGUUAAAGCAAGCGCCAGUCGUCUAGGGUCUUACGAGUCGGGUUGUUUGGGAUUGCAGCCCAAAAUCUAUGGGGAGGUAGAUCACUCCUAAAGCUAAAUAUCGGUGGGAGACCGAUAGCGAACAAGUACCGUGAGGGAAAGGUGAAAAGAACUUUGAAAAGAGAGUUAAAAGCGUUCGAAAUCGUUAAGAGGGAAGCGAACGGAACCGAGAUGCGCGGUGUUUCUUUUCGGCGUGAAGGAGUUUCGUGGUGCGUAUCACAGAGCCUAAAGCCUGUCGGUGCGUAUAGCGGGGUUUCGUUGCGUUUACUAAGGGAUAUCACGGGCCGACAUCAGUUUGGAGUGCCGGAAGGGGCGAAACGGAGAAGUGUGGCCAGCUGCUUACGUAGUUGAUCAUAGACUGACGUUGCGAUUCCCACGAUGUACUCUGGACUGGGGUAACGAUUGCUGUGCCUCGGCGAGCCUACGGGCUUCUACAGCGAAAGAAUGUCGGCGAUUCGGCGGUUCUGUCCGACCCGUCUUGAAACACGG
rnacentral:rRNA from 1 species